UUUGCGGGCGUUGGUCACGUGUCGCCCGUCGCCGGCGUUUGAGGCGUUGGGCGCGGGUUGCUUCCGUGGCUGGGCGCGGCUGACAUCUGCAAGGCGCCGGGGAGAAUGGGGUCAGGCAGGCAUCGUGGCCGGGGCUCGUGAUGGAAGGCUGACAAGAGACAGGCCAUGACUCCCGCAGGCGUGAGUGGACGCCGGUAGAGGCACGACGGGAGCUCGGCGCCGCCGUCCGUCUGCGAGAGCUCCCCGGGUGGCCUUGCCCGGUGGCCGGCAACGUGCCCGCCCGCUGCGGAUGCUCGGAAGGCCUGGGAUCGCAGAGCCGGGAGGGACGGGCGUGGGCGAGAAGAAUGUCACCCCGUUCGUCGCCGUUCUGCGGCCAACUUGUGCUUGUUUUCCGCGAGAGAGCUUUAUUGCUAUACUUGAAAAUGCAAACAAAGUUUGUGCAUGCAUUCAGGUAGGAAACCAGUGCGUGUAAUUUCAGGGUGUUUAUGAACCCUCCCCAAAAGCCUAUUCAGGGACUCCUGUUAAAGACUGUUUAUCUGGAUACUAGACUAUACAUUAUAAGAGUUAACAAAACAAAACAAAACGUGGCCCCUAUUUGUCCUUUGCCAUUCUGUUUACUUCCCCUAGGAUAAGACAUGCAAAACUGAUCUUUGCUGAGCAUGUAUUUAAAACCAGUACAGGUACCGUACCCAGCCAGGGACCUGCUGUCCUGUACUUUUCACACCUUCCUUGUAAACAGGAUGGAGUAGUGUGAGCUGUACGUAUGACUCGUGUGACUAACUGUGUCACAAAAGGAGAGAUGUCCUGUAGGAGGCACACUCUGAAGUUUUUUUGUUUCAUCAACGAAAAGAACACUUUUAAGACCCCUCCGGAGGAUAUGGGCCUUGGCAAGGCCGUCCAGUUGUGACAGAGCUACGGCCAGCGCCCAGGGCUCACAGCCCAGCAUCCCUUGUCACUUCAACAACCGUUGAAUGCCUCCUGUUGGGAACUCCACAGAUGUUUGGUGUGGAGCUACAAGUGGCCCUCACGUCUUCCAGCGGUCCCAGGUCACCUUUCCCGCACGUCUCAGUGCCUGUGAUUGCUCUAAAUCCUCACCGCUUAAACCUUUCUCGCCACAUCUCUCCCUGUCCCAGCGCCAGCCUCACCUCCUGCCCAGCCAUCCUUAGUGCAUAAUAUGCGCUCAACUAGUUCCCAAAGGAAUGAACCCUGCUUUUGCUUCAUUGAGAGAAACAUGAUCCCAGGCAUUUCUGAGUUAGUUGCCCUCUGACCAGUAGCUUGAAUCUUUGGUUCUGUCUCUGUGAAGCUCUUUCAUUCCAAACUCUUUCUGGUGCCUUAGAAAUUGAACAGUGACUUUUGUUUUUAUCAUGGAAUAUAAUUACUAGUCAGCUUGCUCUGUCCUUAUCAUGGAAAGGACCCAGGUAGACUUUAUACUCAGCAGUGAAAUGCCUCUCUCUGGUUAAAAUCACAACUUUUCUGCUUGCAGUAAUCCAGCAUUUAUCUAAGGCUAACCGAGAUACUACAAUUACUUCUUAAUUACAUCUUGUGGUGCGAGGUCAUUGGCGCCCUUCUCAUGCAAAUAAAAACGAUUUACGCAUGUUAUAGCACAAUAGGUGCUAUUCACGGUGGAUUUCAGUGCUUCCUAGAACCACAGCUUUAAACCGGCCCUAACUCGGGAGAACUGAGGCCGUUUGUGUGCAACCUCUAGCCCCAUUGAAUUGGCGACUUUUCAUUUAGUGAAGCUCUUUGUCCCUCACUUUAUGAAAUCGUCCUGCGAAAGCCUGAGCCCCUUUUUUCUGAGAUCUGCAUUUCAGCAGUCUCUUUGAACUUGCUGCACCUCUGAGGUAUGUUUAUGGUUUCCAGGCCGGGUCGUUUUCACCUUCAUAUUCAGGAGACAACCCGGCCCGCUGGUCUACCUAAGUCAAAGUGGGUUCAUGGCAACGAAGCUUGCAUCCCGCUCUGCUGCUUGAGGUCCGUGACAGGAAACGUUGUCGUGUCGGCUUGGCCGCUGUGCUCUGUCAGAAGUGUCUCUUGAGUCAAGCCUGGUUUCCCCUGGUGAAGAAAACUGCAAGACGACUUCCUGCCGCGGUGCAGGGGACUGAGAGAGCCUGAUGCUGGCGGCUCCGGUUGUCGCUGCCGAGGUGGAGGUUCAAUCCCUGGCCGGGUGCAGUGGGUUAAAGGAUCCGGCGUUGUCUCAUCUUCAAACCCUGGCCCGGGAACUUCAUGCGCUGCCGAGCAGCUGUUACCCAAAAUAAAAACAAAAAAAAAAAGAA